rnacentral:rRNA from 1 species
GACAGAGGGUGCAAACGUUGCUCGGAAUUACUGGGCGUAAAGGGCGCGCAGGCGGCCGUGUAAGUCCGCUGUGAAAGACCGGGGCUCAACCCCGGGGUGUCAGCGGGGACUGCACGGCUGGAGUCCCGGAGGGGGAGGCGGAAUACCUGGUGUAGCGGUGGAAUGCGUAGAGAUCAGGUGGAACACCGAUGGCGAAGGCAGCCUCCUGGACGGGUACUGACGCUGAGGCGCGAAAGCGUGGGGAGCGAACGGG